GGAGUGGUGGCCGAGCUAGGCCGAAGGCGCUCGCCUGCUAAGCGAGUAUACGGCAUUAAACCGUAUCGAGGGUUCAAAUCCCUCCCACUCCG
rnacentral:tRNA from 1 species